UUGCUAGCUUUGGCAGCACAUAGAGUAAAAUUAGAAUGACAUAGAUAAGACUGAUUAGCAUGGUCCUAGUGCAAGAGUGAUGUGAAGCAUUCCAUAUUUUU
rnacentral:snRNA from 1 species